AAAAUAAUCCUACCCUUUGUGAAUUUUGUUUGUUUGAAUAAUUUUUUUUUUUUAAAAAAUUAUUGGAGUCUUUCCCUUUAGAGUUUGCUUUUGAGUUUGUAAAAGAAUUCGAAAACAUCUAAAGGGGAUGGUCAAUAAUUUUUUUUGAAAAAAGACAUUUUUUAAAAUUAAACUUUUUGUAUUCAUUUGUCUAAAAAUUAUUUUUAUAAUAUGAAAAGCAACUUUUGACAAUGGAUCUCUUGGUUCUCGCAACGAUGAAGAACGCAGCAAAAUGCGAUAAGUAGUGUGAAUUGCAGAAUACGUGAAUCAUCGAAUCUUUGAACGCAUAUUGCACUUUUUUAGUUUACUAAAAAAGUAUGUCUGUUUGAGUAUCAGUAAAAUAUUCUCAUAAAAAUCAUUGUAUUUUUAUGGUUAUGAGUGCUUUACAACGAUACAAGUUGUUUCACUUUAAAUUUUUUUUUAAUAUUGAAAUUUUCCUAAUUUUAAUAAUUAAAAUUGGAUAAAAUUUUCCCGUCAAAGGAAUAACCUAAACAAUUUUAAACGAUUAAUUUUAGCAAAAUUUUCGAAAAAAAGGAAAAUUUUUAUUAAAAUAACUUGAUCUCAAAUCAGAUAAGAGUACCCGCUGAACUUAAGCAUAUCAAUAAGCGGAGGAAAAGAAACUGACAAGGAUUCCCUUAGUAACGGCGAGUGAAGCGGGAAGAGCUCAAAUUUGAAAUCUUCAAGGUUUUACCUUGACGAAUUGUAGUUUAAAGAAGUGUUUUCUGCUGAAGUUUUGGUAAAAGUUCUUUGGAAUAGGACAUCAUAGAGGGUGAGAAUCCCGUAUUUGACCAUUAUUUUCAGCUUUGUGAUACACUUUCAAAGAGUCGGAUUGUUUGGGAAUGCAGUCCAAAAUGGGUGGUAAAUUUCAUCUAAAGCUAAUAUCGGCGAGAGACCGAUAGCGAACAAGUACCGUGAGGGAAAGAUGAAAGAACUUUGAAAAGAGAGUUAAACAGUACGUGAAAUUGUCAAAAGGGAAGCGUUUGACACCAGUGUUGUUUUCUCGAAAAUCAAUUAAAAAUGGCUCGAUUUUGUAUUGCUGAGACCUUAAAAGCUCACUGUACAUUUUUCGUGUCUUUUUUAAUGCACUUUUCGUUUAACAAGUCAACAUCAGUUUCUUUUGUUGUAAAAGGGUCAUUGGAAGGUGGCUUUCUUUUCGGAGAAAGUGUUUAUAGCCUUUGGCCUCUGCAAUCGGAGAGACUGAGGUCUGCAGCGUAGACUCUUCGGGGUUAGAUACAUUUGUGCUAAGUUAUAGCUUUUUAUAGACAACUUGUUGACUAUAAUUAGUCUUGUAGCUUACUCGCUUAUGCUAUUU
rnacentral:misc_RNA from 1 species